rnacentral:misc_RNA from 1 species
AGGUGACCUUAAAAAAGCUGUUUCAACAUAGUUCAUCUCCAACCAACUUAAAAAUACAAGAUGUUAGGCAGGAAGCAUGCAUCUCAAUUCUAAAAUUGUAUCCAUAAGGCAGCAUCAUUUAUAUAAAUGUGGCCACACAAAAUGGAAAAAGUAUUAUAGAUAGGAACUCGGGUACAGUAGUGAUCUAUGGACUCAACUAUGAUGCUAGUGGAAAACAAACAUCAAUCUACCUGAUAUGAUGUUUUAAACUCCAGCCAGUUGUUUUUUACUUCUUUGUUAGAUGUUUACAGCAAGAGGUUAAAGAUCCAAUGGUCAAAGUUCAUACUGCAACUUGGAAAACAAAAAGAAAAAGGAGCUGUACUGCAGUUUGAAUAUAUAGAAAAUCCCUCUAAAUGUCAGAACAUAAAACCCAAUGCACAAACAGGGCAGCAUUAUAGGGAUAAUCAUUAUGAAGAUUAUAAAUGAUUAAUAAUCUGUUGAAUAUUAUAUAACUCUGGAGAUGAGAACAUUUUGACAUAAAAAGUUGGGUUUUAAUCUUGGAAACUUAGAAAACUUGCCAAUGGAACCUAGUGAAGUUUAACGACUCUUUAAUUAAAAACAGUAUCUUCAUGAUAUCAAGGAACUGUGAGGCAUACAGAAGAGUUGCAAUACUAGUGCUUUUAUGGCAGUCAAAUCUCAAGCAAAUGAUGAUUUUUAAGAUUCAGAUAUAAAAGAAGGGGAAUUCAUGGUUUAGAAUUUGAAUUAGAGCUGGUUAUAAUGAGAAAAUAAAAAGAAAUUGCUGGGAUGUUCGGGGCCUGUGAACAGUAGUCCAGUUAAUCUAGCAGUUAGCUUUUGGAAGAAAGGAAGAACAAGAGGAAAAGAGAGGACAGAGGAGAAUUGCUAAGCAGGCAAGCCUUCCAAAUCAAAUCAAG